CUCAUGAUUGUUACAUUUGCUUCUAUUGUGGUCUUUGUUAAUCAAAUAAGAUGGACUUUCUGUUUAUUUCAAAGUGAUGUCUUAAUAAUGUAAAAUAUUCAACACUAGAAAUAAUUCUAACAUAUAGUUAAAGGAAAUAUUCGUACAUACUUUUAUAACACAUGGAUUUUGCGUAAGUUUUCUGCAGAACUGCCGGCUUAGCUUUCUCUUUGGUAGAACGUGACUCAAAAAUAUAAAUAUGACUGUGAUACUUUUUCUGGUGUUAGCGAUCCUUCAAUUUGCUUUGGUUGAAGGUAAAACAGGUUGUUGGGCAGCUUCAACUGCACCAGGAAAGAUAUGCAUAGAAGAUGAUGUAUUAAAUGGACAGAUAUCAAUGGACAUAAGAUAUACAAUCACCUCUAGGUUUACACAAGUUUGCUGUGAAGCGCUAGCUUGUACUGACUUUCGUGGCUGUCGUUUAACGGAUAUUGGAUGCGGUCAGGGCACAAUGACGUCUCAACGUCUCCCCUGGGAAUUAAGAGAUAUCAACCCUGCCGUGAGGUGUUUUGCGACCGACGCAACAAAUCCUAAUUAUUACGCCUUUGAAGUAAGGGUCGCUUAAACCAACUCAAAUAUCAAAUACAGAGGAAUAAAUAACAAACGUAAAUGUUAAAAAGUGAUUUCAGUAUGUUAUGAUACAAUUUUCUCUUUUACUUUUAUCAUUUUAUCUGAAAAAAUAAAAAUGAUAACUCAAAUUUGGCGUCUUAGUAUCAUUUUUUUACAUUUGGGAAAGCAACCGAGUCUAAAUACUAAGCUGAUAAGUUAAUUUGGAUUAGAAAAUAGCCACAGAAGUUGACCAAAAAAAAAUGACCUAAUAGACAUUAUGGUCAUAUAACGACUCGCCAGAUUUUAUACAUGUGUGAAAAAUCUCAACAUUAAUAAAGUUUUAAACUUAUUUGUCUAAACUUGGCAUCCACUGAUUACUUACGUUAGACAUGAUAUUUUAGCACAAAAAAAAGAACAAAUGGAAGUAUGUAAACAAUUACAGAAAAGAUAUAUAUUUCUGACUUCGAAAUGCAUACCAUUUUUACAAUUACAGUCAAACCUGUGUUAAAGACCACCUAUGAACAGAGACCACCUGGCUCUAAAGACCACAUGUUUUGUUUCCCAUUUUAACAUUUACAGUGUAUUUUAACCUGUGAAUAAAGACAACCUUCCAAAAAAGACCAUAUUUUGGCUCGCCCAAGGGUGGUCUUUAUAGACAGGUUUGACUGUAUAGUAAUGUUUGACUGUAUGGUAAUGCACUUGCUUGCUGGAGAAGACGUUACAUAACAGAACAGAACAGAACAGACAGAAUCAAUCAUAAAACAUUAUUGGAUUCAAUAACGACGCUGUAUUGUACGCCCAUUAAUGCUUUGUCACGACACAUAUCUAUAUUAAGGAUAUAACACAACUAUUUACUAUAAUAUAGUAUGAAAGUCUUAAUUUAUAAUUGUUCUGCAAUACAAUUCAAAUAAAAACACAGUUAUACAUAAUAUGUUAAGUUGAUGAGUACCGGCAAUUAUCUUACCACAAUCUACAAAAACCGCUUGUGUAAAUAAUGUCGAUGUCUGUGUACCAUACCAUCAUGCAAAUAAUAACGCGUCAAUAACUGGUUUGUAAUAUACCGGUAGAAAUUGCCAGGAUUGGUAAGUGGUGCAUCAAUAGAAUGAGCCAUGGAUGGUCAGUGUUUGACUGACAGAAUUAGCGGUGACUGGUCAGUGUCGGACCGGAAGAAUGGGUCAUGACGGUUAAAAUAUUGCUAUGGAAGUCGUCCAUAGACAUCAAAUACCUAUCGCACAAUUUACCAAGACAAUGAAAUUUAAACAGUAAUAUUUACAAAUCCCAACCUGGUAUAUUGUUAAGUGCAAGUUGCAACACGUUUAUACCAUUGAUAAUUGUUAAUUUAAUUUUACACAAAAUAUGCUUCGUGAUGACAUUAUGCAGCUAUUUUUGUAACAUAUAUAUGUGGAGUUCUUAAUUGCACAUGAUUCAUAAAGUUGCAGAAUUUUGAGGCAACUAUUCUUUAUGAUACCCAAGCGCUGAUCCUACCACGGUUAGAUGAUAACCUAAACAUACUCUUAAUGUGUACCAUGCCCUUUCAAGCAGCACAAUGGCAACAUAAGAAAUUAAAUUUCGUUUAAUUGCAAACAGAUAGUGAUAUGAUGCAAAAAUAUCUGCCACAAACUGAGUAUUUUUAGAUGAUUUUUAAACUUGAGUAUCUUCAGUUUGAUUUCAAAAGGAUUGAAGAAAUUAAAAUGUGUGAAAAAGAUCCAAUCAGUAAUUUACAAUAAAUAGACAUGUACGCGCAUAUUUCUUUUUAAUCAAUUUGGACUGUAAACACAUUUGUUGACUGACAGACGGAACAGACAAAACAUUUACAAAGAUGAACAAUAUCACUUGUUGGGUCCAAUAAAUCAAAGUUAUUCUAUUUCAAACAUGACACUUUAAUGAUUUAUUAUCAAAUUUGUGAAAAUUUGUCUCAUUGUGAUGCACAUUUCGUACAAGCACUAUAAUUUAUAUAUACACAAAGUGUACAAUAAAUACUGAGACCAUAGCCCAUUUUAUUAAUAGACAUGAUAAUUUAUUAUGUAUUCUGUCAAAUAACUGGUGUCUUUAAACAAUUAAAAUCAUCUCACUGUGUAUUAUUAAAGCGCCAUAUUCCAGAACAAACCUCAAAAUGCUAAAUUUGUUCGUGUUUAAGGAAAUCAAUUGUCUAAAGUGAGGUAAAAGUAAAAUGGCUUAAACAAUACAAGUAAUUAUAGCACACUCGUUUUGACUGAGUCUACUCGCAUGAGGUAAUAAAACGUGCAACACCUCUCACACGCCCUAGCACCGUCUGAAUAUUUCAUUAUAUUUGCAGAAAAAAUGCUUUAGAAAGGCCUAUUAUAACAAUAACAAUUUUAUCAGGAUUAUAAUUAUUUUCGUCUGACCAUUAUUUCUCCUCUAAAAUUUGUAUAUGAUUUUUAAAGGUGCGCUUGGUUGCUUAAUAUGUAAAAUAUGUAAAAAAACAUGGAAAUCACAAAUUUGAAAAAAAAUCGCAUACUUAUUUUAUUUCACAAAGAGUAUUAAUUACAACACAAAUUUAGAAGAAACAGUUUUAAGUCGAAAAACUAAUAAUUAAUUGCCAUUAAAAAUUACGUUUCAAAUGUACAUGAAUAUUACUGACAGGAACUCGUACUAUUUUGUAUCCAGUUGUAUCUACGUGACGCUCGAUAUAUAACGAAUGAAAUUGCAGAUAACCUUUCUUAGUACAUGAAAUUCUACAGAUUUAAGGGAAUCAAAUACCGUAAAUUUGUAUUGUUCAACAAAAACAGUAAUUUCCUAGAGUAAAGCUUUUCUUGCACAUAUGGUUAUUAUAACAUCAUAUGUGCACAAAUAGCGUGACACGUCGUUUUGAAGUCCAGGAAACAGAAGCAGAAAAUUAUUAAAAACAUGACACUUUACUAUUAAAUUAGCAAAAUGUAUCAUGAAUAAUUAUCUGCCCGCUUUGCACAUUUCGUGCAGAACUAUGCACUAUUUAUACACAGCUUAAACAAUUAUCCCAGUUAACAAACAAGGCAAUACAUUACAUAGGCAACGAAAAUAGCGGUUAUUUUCAAGAAACAGGCCUUAAACGAAUGUGGUUAAACUAUUGUUUAUUAUAUAUUUUAGAUAUGUAUGAAUUGUGUUCUGAUAUCCUCUUGUAAGAAACAUCUAAUAGAUAUUUCAAUAAAACGUAUAUUUGCAUUUUUGAAGUUUAUUUAUUUCCAUUUUAACUUUCUUUUUGUAAAACCAACGAAGGAACAACCUUGCCUUAUUCAUUUAAUAAUGCUAAUUUUUUGGUGCUCAUUACGUACUUCGCCUUUCAAACGGACAGAUUUGCCAUCGUACUUUCUAUUUGGUAGACAGUAUUGCCCAAAAAAUAGUGAUGAUACUAUUCCUGAUGGUAGCGAUCCUUCAAUUUGCUCUGGUUAAAGGUCCGCCAGGUUGCUGGGCUGGUCCAACUCAACCGGGAAAGGUUUGCAUAGACGGUAACGUAUUAAAUGGACAAAUAUCAAUGGACAUAAGGUAUACAAUCACUUCCAGGUUUACACAUAUUUGCUGUCAAGCGCUAGCUUGUACGGACUUUCGUGGCUGCCUUUUAAAGGAUAUUGGAUGCGGCCAGGGCACAGUGUCGUCUCAACGUCUCCCCUGGGAAUUGAGAGACAUCAAUCCUCUCGUUAGAUGUUAUGCGACCGACGCAACAAAUCCUGAUUAUUACGACUUUGAAGUAAGAGUCGUCUAGACUAGCACAAAUUUCAAAUAUAAUAAUAAAAAUUCAAUAUCAAACUAUCCAGAAUAUGAAAACAGAAAUGAAAAUGAAAUAUAUUUGAUUCAGUAUUUGAUGACACAGAUGUCUCUGUUAGUUAAUAAAAUAAAAAUGAUUACUUGAA